rnacentral:lncRNA from 1 species
AUGAGCGCAGCCCAGCCCGCUCGGUCAAGCCGACAAUCCCUCCGGCUCCUCCAGCCGGCCCCGAGCUGCCUCGCUCGCCCAUCCCGGUUCCUCGCGGAUCCGCGGGCACUGCCGCACAAUGGGAGCUCCGCGCUCUCGGCUGUGCUCGGCGCGGGAAGGCAGCACUGUGGCUUCGGGAGGGAGCGACCCCGACGCCCCCGGAGCCCCGCACGGAGCGAGGGGAACAAAGGAGCCGCCCCGUCGAGCGGUGCCCGAGUCGCGCCCCGCGUGGGAACGAGCACGGCGCGGGGGGAACGGCGGAUCGCCGCGCUCCGGUCGUGCGGGGCCGCCGCGGGAGGGACGCGCCUCCGUCGGGCGCUCCGAGCCCCGCUGGCCGCCCGCACGGAGCGCGGCCCGGCUGUCGUUUCCGUCUCCGAUCCCCGGCGUCGGGCGCAUUCCCGAGCCCACCUCCCCCCCCCCAGCCCCCCGCCGUGCCCGCCCAGCCGAGUCGCAAACGGCUUUGGGGGGAUGGGGCCGCGGCCCUUUGUGUGCCCCCGGCCCGGCCCCGGUGCCCCAAGCGAGGUCCCGCCGCGCCGCUCUGGUCCCCAUCCUCCCCCACCGCCCUCCGCCCCCUUUGUCUUUUUUUUUUUUUUUUUCCUUCUCGUGUAUUUUCCCCCCCUUUCCCCCCUCCUUCCCGUAACGCCCGCAUCGCACAACCAUUACCAGAUGGGGCUCCGGAGGGGCUGCGCAGCCCCCCGCCCCAUCGCAGCCCCCCAGCACGCAGCCGCGGCCGCUCCCCCCAUCCCCCCAUUCCCAUCCUCAUCCCCAUCCUCCUUCUCUUCCUCCCCCCCGACCCUCCCGGCUCCUCGGGCUCUCCGCGCCGAGCCGCCGCUGCCCAAUCCCCCGGCCCGGCCCGGCGGGGAGGAGCGGGGCGGGGGGCGGGCACUGCGGUGCCUUUUCCCCUCCCUCUUCGGGCCGCCACCCCUCUCGCUCGCUCCUUUUCGGGUGGCUGGGGCCCCCCCGGCGGAAGGGUAG